GACGAACGCUGGCGGCGUGCUUAACACAUGCAAGUCGAACGGAAAGGCCCUGCUUUUGUGGGGUGCUCGAGUGGCGAACGGGUGAGUAACACGUGAGUAACCUGCCCUUGACUUUGGGAUAACUUCAGUAAACUCGGGCUAAUACCGGAUAUCAGCUCCUGCUGCAUGGUUGGGUUUGGAAAGUUUCGGCGGUUGGGGAUGGACUCGCGGCUUCUCAGCUUGUUGGUGGGGUAGUGGCUUACCAAGGCUUUGACGGGUAGCCGGCCUGAGAGGGUGACCGGCCACAUUGGGACAGAGAUACGGCCCAGACUCCUACGGGAGGCAGCAGUGGGGAAUAUUGCACAAUGGGCGGAAGCCUGAUGCAGCAACGCCGCGUGCGGGAUGACGGCCUUCGGGUUGUAAACCGCUUUCGCCUGGGACGAAGCGUGAGUGACGGUAAUGGGUAAAGAAGCACCGGAUAACUACGUG
rnacentral:rRNA from 1 species